CCUUAGGAAUUGUCACCCCCACAAGGCCACUAUGCUGGGCAGAAACCAUUAGCAGGGCAGAACAGGUCCUGGAACCUAUUUUAAAGGGCCAGCUUAACCUGUAACAGGGGGUACUGUGGCAAUGGAGUUCCAGCAUUGGAGGAUACACUGCCUCCUUGGAGGGCUUUAAUUGGAAGUUGCUGUUUAUCUUUGUUUCUUACAUGUUAACAAGAAACUCACUAAUAAAAGGUUAGAAGGUGCAAAGUCAUUCAUUCGCAUUGCAAAAGUUCUCCCUUAAAGAUUUCCUCAUAUAAAGAGGUAAGCCACAAAUACAGCUGCUGGAAUAUGGUACCUGGGAUGAAUUUUAUAAAAGCAGUAACAUUAGAAGAUUUAUGAAGCAAGCAAUGGAAGAUGCAAGCAGAUAGAUCUAGGAUUUCAGCAGAAGUAUUUGAAAUGGAAAAAUAUACUAUGUUUUUCACUAUGUAAGGCACAUUCAAAUAAAGGAUUUUGUUUGUUUA